GAAAUGCGAUAAGUAAUGUGAAUUGCAGAAUUCAGUGAAUCAUCGAAUCUUUGAACGCACCUUGCGCUCCUUGGUAUUCCGAGGAGCAUGCCUGUUUGAGUGUCAUUAAUAUAUAUCAACCUUCUCUCUUGUAGUGAGUGGUUUGGAUGUGGGGGUUUGCUGGCCUCUUUUAAAAAAAGGGUUCAGCUCUCCUGAAAUGCAUUAGCAGAACAACCUGUUCAUUGGUGUGAUAACUAUCUGCGCCAUUGAAUGUGAAGGGGCAGUUCAGCUUUCUAACAGUCCUUGGACAAUCCAUUAUUAAUGUGACCUCAAAUCAGGUAGGACUACCCGCUGAACUUAA
rnacentral:misc_RNA from 1 species